rnacentral:lncRNA from 1 species
UUCCAGGUUAAACCAGGGACUCGGGCGGCGCGUCUGGAGAGAAAAACAUCCACAAGUCAGGUCAAGCCACAGACGACAAUGCAAAGCAGAAAGAGUGGCAGAUGUACUAGGGAAUGGGGUUUUGUCUCUUUGGGGACGCCGCGCUACAGCAUAACCGAUUUUUCAGCGGUGGGAGAAAGUAACAGGGGAAAACACAUUAAAAUAGAGCAGCAAAGGAGUUAAUGCAUGCUGACAAAAGCCUGCGGACUAAUAUGGAGACCCUGAACAGCAAUGAUUUCCACAGGUACCCACUGCACAGUAUCUACACUCUAAAACAAUUAUUUUGGCUGCUGACUGGAAGGAGCUGGAAUACAAGAAUCUGCCUGCAACAAAUGCUUGUCCUGGCUCCUCGAUUCCAUAAACCCGUGGCCUUCCUAACAGGAACCAGUGGCCUCUCAAACAGUGAAUAAUUUCAGAGCCCACCCACCCAGCCACACCCAGAACAACAGAAAAGCUGCCUGGGUUUCCUCAAAUCACCUGGAGUGGGAAAGUGUUUGAUACAGUUACAAAAUAACAGGAGAUUAUACAAAAGGCUGUGGUGCCUCCUCCCUCUCUCUUUUGGGAAGGAGAUUUCACUAUAAGACAUUGUGUGGUUUUUUUCCUCCCUUUGUUUCCACUUCUGCAUUUAGUGUUUAAAACUUGCUAUAGAGCACAAGCCUGGGAGAGAGGAUGAUUUUAUAAAUAGUUGCUGCAUAAAAAUCACCUCCCACAUAGUCAAGCUUGACACCCCACUGACAAAAGAAAAUGCAGCAGGUUCAAGAAAAGCACAGGUGAAACUAAUGGAGGUGGAGCAUUUGCAUUCUUCCCCAGGGCCUUUGUCAUCAGGCCUCUUGGAUGUUGUUUUUGCAGAAAGAAAGGCCACCUGAUAAGAUCAGACGUGUGUCACGUGCACAGACACCCCAGCCAUAGUCUCCUACUUAGGCACCUAAGAGACGUGAAAAUGUUGUCCCCACAGAAAGCUGUACGCUCGCAGCUUGGUGCAGAGUUGCUCCAACAUGGGAACAAGCCAGACGUCCCUCAACAGAUGAAGGGAUUAAACUCCCCGUGACACAUCCGUGCACGGGAGCACGAAUGAACCCUAAAAAGGGAGU